rnacentral:rRNA from 1 species
UACGUAGGGUGCGAGCGUUAAUCGGAAUUACUGGGCGUAAAGGGCUCGUAGGCGGCCAACUAAGUCGAUGUGAAAUCCCCAGGCUUAACCUGGGGAAUUGCAUCCGAUACUGGAUGGCUUGAAUCCGGGAGAGGGAUGCGGAAUUCCAGGUGUAGCGGUGAAAUGCGUAGAUAUCUGGGGAAGACACCGAUGGCGAAGGGCAGCCCCCUGGGUCAAGAUUGACGCUCAUGCACGAAAGCGUGGGGAGCAAACAGGG